rnacentral:rRNA from 1 species
UGGGGAAUAUUGGACAAUGGGCGCAAGCCUGAUCCAGCCAUGCCGCGUGAGUGAAGAAGGCCUUCGGGUUGUAAAGCUCUUUUGUCAGGGAAGAAACGGUAGUAGCGAAUAACUAUUACUAAUGACGGUACCUGAAGAAUAAGCACCGGCUAACUACGUGCCAGCAGCCGCGGUAAUACGUAGGGUGCAAGCGUUAAUCGGAAUUACUGGGCGUAAAGCGUGCGCAGGCGGUUGUGUAAGUCAGAUGUGAAAUCCCCGGGCUCAACCUGGGAAUUGCAUUUGAGACUGCACGGCUAGAGUGUGUCAGAGGGGGGUAGAAUUCCACGUGUAGCAGUGAAAUGCGUAGAGAUCUGGAGGAACACCGAUGGCGAAGGCAGCCCCCUGGGCUAACACUGACGCUGAGGCACGAAAGUGCGGGGAUCAAACAGGAUUAGAUACCCCGGUAGUCCCUGAGCGGGCUGGCAAGGCGCAU